rnacentral:rRNA from 1 species
GAGUUUGAUCUUGGCUCAGAUUGAACGCUGGCGGCAUGCCUUACACAUGCAAGUCGAACGGCAGCACGGGAGCUUGCUCCUGGUGGCGAGUGGCGAACGGGUGAGUAAUGCAUCGGAACGUAUCCUGGAGUGGGGGAUAACGUAGCGAAAGUUACGCUAAUACCGCAUAUUCUGUGAGCAGGAAAGCGGGGGACCUUCGGGCCUCGCGCUCUUGGAGCGGCCGAUGUCGGAUUAGCUAGUUGGUGAGGUAAAGGCUCACCAAGGCGACGAUCCGUAGCAGGUCUGAGAGGAUGAUCUGCCACACUGGAACUGAGACACGGUCCAGACUCCUACGGGAGGCAGCAGUGGGAAUUUUGGACGAAUGGGGGCAACCCUGAUCCAGCCAUGCCGCGUGAGUGAAGAAGGCCUCGGUU